UAUUAUUUAUUAUCCUUGUUGCUUUUUUUUUGAAAUGGCAAUUUCAUGAAAUUCAGUCUGAAGGGCAUUCGUGGUUAUCUACUGUUUUAAAAGAAAGUCUUCUAACAUCUUUAGGAGGGACGAGAAGAAAGCUUAAGUGAGAAAUUGCUUUGCUCAGAUUGGAUUUUUAUUGCAGAGCUGCAAAGCCCAGAAGAUAGCAGUUGAUAGUGGACACUGCAAUUCAUUUUUUAACUGUCGACUUGGGAUGAAACGGCUAUGAAAUAGCAAUGGCAGCAUCACUUACCCUUUUUCCUAAUCAUUUUUGGCCUCUCUCUGGCCCUCUGCUUUCUCUCUCUUUCUCUGAUGUUGUUUGGUGAUCAUAAUGCGUGAGGCCCAGCCAGAGCCUCAAACAGUGAGGUUGAGAAAGGCAGAUUAGCUCCUAAGCAAUGGCCAAGUUGGAGUGGGCACCGGUCAGUGAAUUUCUCUCUAAAUGGCAACAUCCUUGGGAAUUCAGACCGUUUUCUUCAUCACCAAAGGGACAAUGCUAUGAGCUCUUGUGUCUACCUUAUGGUGGGAUUAUGAAAAAUAAAAAGAAAUUAAAAGGCAGGAUGUCAGGGGUACACAAAUAGAUAGUAAAAGCCCUGAAGAACACAGGCCCCUGCUGUUAACUGUUUCUGUGGCAAACACUCUCCCUUCUGUAGGCCUCAGCUCCUUCUCCUGUUAUAAACUGAGGAACUAGAAUGAUUCAAUAUAGUUAAAAAGACACAGAGUCUGACCCCAGAUUGAAUUCCAUUUCUGCUACCUACUAGCUGUGUGACCUUGGGAAACUUCCUUGACUGCUCUGUGCCUCAGUUUCCUUAUCUAUAAAAUGGGAUAAUAGGAAGUUCCUUUGUGGCACAAGGGUUAGGGCUUCGGCAUUGACAAAGCUGUGGCACAGGUCAUAACUGCUGUGCGGGUUUGAUCCCUGUCCCAGGAACUUCCACAUGAUGCAGGUGCGGCCAGAAUAAAAAACGUGCACUCAGAAGACAAUAAAUAUCCUCUGUGAACACUGGAUUUAUUCAGUCAACAAUAUUUGUUGAGUGCCUUUUAUGUGCGAGGUGCUUUUAGUAGAGGAAUUCAAGGUAUAUUUAUUAAUUAUAAUCAGAGUAUGUCACUGCCUUGGGAAGCAUCUUGCACUGUGCUGCUUUGUUUUAUUUACUGGGUUUUGACACCUAAGAUCCUAUUUUUUUUUUAAAGGAUUCUACUGCUAAAUAAAACAAAGCAAAUAUGAAAUCUUGGGUUUCAUUCCUAGUUCACCUUCACCGUAUGACCUUGGGUAAGUUACAUUAACUCUCUGAGACUUCAUUUCCUCAUAUGUAAAAAAGUUAAUGAAUGAUAUCUUGCACAAAGGAGAGUGUGGACAUUAAAUGUUAUAUCACAUGAAACAGUGCCUAUAAAGCUCUUAGCAUAUGUUUGACUUAUAGUAAGUGUUCUAUAAAUGUUAACUCUUACUGCCAUCACUUCUAGUUCUGGAGAUUCUAGAAGUCAGUGAUUCUAAAUGAAAAGUUCCCCAGGCUGGUGGAAGGGGAUGUUGAAGCCUGUUUUCCUGUGGUUCCUCUUCAUGGGCUAGGAGGUUCGUGAGUGCCAUAGAAACAAUCUUUUUUUUUUUUUUCCCCCCAGAGAAAAAUACUGAUCUGGAAUUUCAAUAGAGCUGCCCAAAGUUGGAGCGGGUUUUCUUUUUUUCUUUUUUUUUUUUUUGUCUUUUUUGUUGUUGUUGCUAUUUCUUGGGCCGCUCCCGCGGCAUAUGGAGGUUCCCAGGCUAGGGGUUGAAUCAGAGCUGUAGCCACCGGCCUACGCCAGAGCCACAGCAACGCGGGAUCCGAGCCGCGUCUGCAACCUACACCACAGCUCAUGGCAACGCCGGAUUGUUAACCCACUGAGCAAGGGCAGGGACCGAACCCGCAACCUCAUGGUUCCUAGUUGGAUUCGUUAACCACUGUGCCACGACGGGAACUCCCUGGAGCGGGUUUUCUUGAGAGGUAGGAGUUCCUCAACAUUAGGGGUGUCCAAGCUAGACAGUCAGUCAGCAGGGAUGUUGUUAAGGGUUGGUCCUUGGUUUUGCUGUUUUCGAAGACUGCUUCCAGCUCUGAGUUGAUGGAACCAUUUUUUGGCCAUCAACAUUUUUUUUUUUUCCUUUUUUAGCUGCACCUCUGGCAAGUGGAAGUUCCCAGACCAGAGAUGGAACCUAUAUUACAGCAGUGACCCCAGCUGCUGUAGUGAUGACAGAUCCUUAACCUGUUGCACCACAAGAGAACACCUGGCCAUGGACAUUUGAUCCAGCCAGGUAAGGAAACGUUUGUGAGGGGUACCCGAUCACGGCCCUGUUGAGGUACUGCUUCUAAAAGGGCAACUGAUGACCUCAGAGACUUGCUGCCCCACACGGCCAGGUGGGGCACUCACCCCGACAUUGCCUCUAUUACUUCUUGGGAGAGUAGUUAUUUCUUGGACACAGGUGCUGUCAGAGAGUCCUGUCACCCCAUUACCUAAUUGUUUAUCCCAAGAGUGGGGGUACUUGAGUGUUGGUGUCACAUUCAUCCUUUUCUGAGGAUGGAGUAGGUUGAAAUAACUUCAGAGCCAAGUGGCUAGUGGCAGAGCACACCUAUGUCUGGACCACUAAGCCAGCUCUGAAGAAGCCACAGUUAGCUUUUAAUUUUGGUCUCAGUUACUCCUUCAUCUUCAUUUGCUACCUUGGACUUGCCUACAGGAAGUGAAAAAGCAAAGGCACUGUGUUUUCUGGGUUCAUUUGCUUUUUUUUUUUUUUUUUAAUGAUAAGCAGUUUAUUUGCUUUCAAAGAACCAUUUCCUAAGCAUCUACCUGCACAAAGCACCUGCUAGUCUCUGUUCUUCCAUUCCUUCAAAGUGUCCACCAUGUGCCAGACACUGUGCAAGAGCCUGGAGAUAUAGGGCUGCGAAAAGACACAAGUGGUCCUUCCCUUGAAGUUAUAAUCCGGCAGGAGAGACAACUAUUGAAAGAAUAAGUCUAAGGCCCUGAUUGUGAAGGGAGACAGUCACACACAGACUGAAUGGUAGCUCUUCCCUUCUUGUCCGAUCCCUCAGUGGCCCUGGCUUUGGUUUGGCAAAUCCAGCACAUUGUCCAACAUCCUGGGUUUCUGACUCACUUCUUGUGCCCAUGUCUAGGUCUCAUCACAUCCUGGGUGUCAGUGAAAUGCAGCUAGUUGUUGCGCCUCACUCUGGUCACUUACCUCUGCUCAGGCAGGUCAGGAAAAUCUCUAUCCUUCAGCCCAUACGUGUCUCCUAUGCCAGAGCUGCCUUUUGCCCUUUAAAAUCUUUGCAGCAAACCAGGAAUCCUCUGGCUUGUAACAGUGGGAAAUGUAAAUUGGUACAACUACUAUGGAAAACAGUAUGAAGGUAUCUUAGAAAACUAUACAUGGAACUACCAUAUGACCCAGCAAUCCCACUCUUGGUCAUAUAUCCAGACAAAACUUUCUUUGAAAAAGACACAUGCACCCGCAUGUUCAUUGCAGCACCAUUCACAAUAGCCAAGACUUGGAAACAACCUGAAUGUCCAUUGACAGAUGAUUGGAUUAAUAAGAAGUGGUAUAUAUACACAAUGGAAUACUACUCAGCCACAAAAAGAACAAAAUUAUGCCAUUUGCAGCAACAUGGAUGGAACUAGAGACUCUCAUACUGAGUGAAGUAAGUCAGAAAAAGAAAGGCAAAUACUAUAUGAUAUCACUUAUAUCUGGAAUCUACUAUGGCACAAAUGAACCUUUCCACAGAAGGUUCAUGGACAUGGAAAAUAGACUUGUGGUUGCCAAGGUGGAGGGGGAAAGAGGGGGAUGGAUNNNNNNNNNNNNNNNNNNNNNNAAACUAUUGCGAAUGGUUAAGCAACGAAUCCUGCUUAUAGCACUGGGAACUAUAUAGUCACUUAUGAUGGAGCAUGAUAAUGUGAGGAAAAAAAAUGUAUGCAUGUAUGUGUAACUGGGUCACCUUGCUGUGCAGUAGAAAAUUGAGAGAACACUCUAAACCAGCUAUGAUGGAAAAAAUAAAAAUCAUUAUAAAUAAAAAAAAAAGAAGGAAAGCUCAGAGAGAUAACAGGGCAUGGAAUAUGUGUUGCCAACCUAGCUGGCCUGGGGGAACAUGAGGAGAGAGAAGAGGAAAAACCAGUGUCCUUGAAUGAGCUGCUUAAUGAUUG
ensembl:lncRNA